rnacentral:rRNA from 1 species
GUCUGUGGACAUCCCAACCUGAACGCGCCUGAUCGCGUCUGAUCUCAGCAGCUAAGCAGGGUUGGGUCUGGUUAGUACUUGGAAGGGAGACUGGGCUCACUCUGGGAGCAGAUG